UGCUUCUGUUACAUAAAUAUGGGCUGUUUUUGACAAUACAAUGCACAUAUAUCCGGUACUAGCACCAUUAAGUCAUGCUAAAUUACUGAAAUCCUCAUAAUUCUAGCAUUUUAGUUAAAUUUUAGACGAUUUUCGUGUAAAACGAAAGUGGCCGCAUUCGUGUUCAUCCUUAAUAUUGAAAUGUAAGUUGUAUUUUAUGAUAAUACAUAACA
rnacentral:lncRNA from 1 species